rnacentral:rRNA from 1 species
CAGCCGCCGCGGUAAUACGAAGGGUGCAAGCGUUAAUCGGAAUUACUGGGCAUAAAGCGUGCGUAGGCGGUGAGUUAAGUCUGCUGUGAAAUCCCCGGGCUCGACCUGGGAAUGGCAGUGGAUACUGGCUCGCUAGAGUGUGUCAGAGGAUGGUGGAAUUCCCGAUGUAGCGGUGAAAUGCGUAGAGAUCGGGAGGAACAUCAGUGGCGAAGGCGGCCAUCUGGGACAACACUGACGCUGAGGCACGAAAGCGUGGGGAGCAAACAGGAUUAGAUACCCGUGUAGUCCCUGUCUCUUAUAA